GUAGGUGGCAAGCGUUAUCCGGAUUUACUGGGUGUAAAGGGCGUGUAGGCGGGACUGCAAGUCAGAUGUGAAAACCAUGGGCUCAACCCAUAGCCUGCAUUUGAAACUGUAGUUCUUGAGUGUUGGAGAGGCAGGCGGAAUUCCUAGUGUAGCGGUGAAAUGCGUAGAUAUUAGGAGGAACACCAGUGGCGAAGGCGGUCUGCUGGACAGCAACUGACGCUGAGGCGCGAAAGCGUGGGGAGC
rnacentral:rRNA from 1 species